AUUGAACGCUGGCAGCAGGCCUAACACAUGCAAGUCGAACGGUAGCACAGAGAGCUUGCUCUCGGGUGACGAGUGGCGGACGGGUGAGUAACGUCUGGGAAACUGCCCGAUGGAGGGGGAUAACUACUGGAAACGGUAGCUAAUACCGCAUAACGUCGCAAGACCAAAGUGGGGGACCUUCGGGCCUCACACCAUCGGAUGUGCCCAGAUGGGAUUAGCUAGUAGGUGGGGUAAUGGCUCAACUAGGCGACGAUCCCUAGCUGGUCUGAGAGGAUGACCAGCCACACUGGAACUGAGGCACGGUCCAGACUCCUACGGGAGGCAGCAUUGGGGAAUAUUGCACAAUGGGCGCAAGCCUGAUGCAGCCAUGCCGCGUGUAUGAAGAAGGCCUUCGGGUUGUAAAGUACUUUCAGCGGGGAGGAAGGCGGUGAAGUUAAUAGCUUAACCGAUUGACGUUACCCGCAGAAGAAGCACCGGCUAACUCCGUGCCAGCCGCCGCCGUAA
rnacentral:rRNA from 1 species